UUGAGCGAGACACAGAGUACUGAUUGGUGCAUUUAUAAUCCUUUAGCUAGACAAGGAAGUUCUCCAAGUCCCCACUAGAUUAGCUAGACACAGAGCACUGAUUGGUGCGUUUACAAACUUUGAGCUAGACACAGGGUGCUGAUUGGUGCGUUUACAAACCUUGAGAUAGACACAAAGUGCUGAUUGGUGCAUUUACAAACCUUUAGCUAGACAUAAAAGUUCUCCAAGUGCCCACCCCACUCAGGAACCCAGCUGGCUUCCCUAGUGGGUCUGGUGUAGGUCCGCUGGCGGAGCUGCCAGCCGGACACACGCCCCACGCCCGCACUUCUCAGCCCUUCCGCGGUCCAUGGGUCCGGCCGUCGUGGAGCAGGGGGCGGCGCCCGUCGGGGAGGCUCCAGCCGCGCGGGAGCCAACGAUCUCCUCCGGGAGUGGUGGGCAGCUACUGUGAAAGGCCUGGUUCAAAAACCUCACAGCGGUUGUUUUCAGAGUUGUCCCUCCUGUGUACUCUCAAAGCCCCAGAAUGAAGCAAAGCAUCCUCCCUUUUCAAACUGGCACUCUUCCCCAACCUUGAGGACCACUAGGCACUUUGUUUUUAAAGCCACAAUAAAAAACUGGCAUGUAUCAGAUGAGCAGACAUGAGAAAGAAUAAAAAAUGCCCCCAAACCUGGCAUAUAGAUGAGAGGUUAUGGAAAGACUGACCAGCAGGAUGUUCGAAGACUACCAAACUUUCC
rnacentral:lncRNA from 1 species